UCUCUCUGAAUCUGCGAACGGCUCCGCACACCAGUUGUAAACCAAAGCAAGCAAGCUCGGUCUCGACGCCUUUCGGGGCUAGGGGCCGGGCUACAAGGAUAACCCUGGUAAUUCUGAGGCUAAUACUUGACACUGAACCUGCCGACUGGGUCUCGGCCCGGGAAGCGGGGGAUGUGCGACUAUCGGGCCAACAAAACCGGAAAGAGCGCACGUUCAGACCACAUAAAAAGGCCACGGGGUCCCUCGGGACCUCGGGGCUGUGGCUCUUGCAGCGUGCUUCUGACCUAUCAACUAGACGGCAGCCUAAGGGACAUGCUUUGGUGACAACGGGUACAGAGGAUAAGGGUUCGAUCCUGGAGAGUGGGCCUGAGAGAUU
rnacentral:rRNA from 1 species